UGCAAGUCGAGCGAACAGACGAGGAGCUUGCUCCUCUGACGUUAGCGGCGGACGGGUGAGUAACACGUGGAUAACCUACCUAUAAGACUGGGAUAACUUCGGGAAACCGGAGCUAAUACCGGAUAAUAUAUUGAACCGCAUGGUUCAAUAGUGAAAGACGGUUUUGCUGUCACUUAUAGAUGGAUCCGCGCCGCAUUAGCUAGUUGGUAAGGUAACGGCUUACCAAGGCAACGAUGCGUAGCCGACCUGAGAGGGUGAUCGGCCACACUGGAACUGAGACACGGUCCAGACUCCUACGGGAGGCAGCAGUAGGGAAUCUUCCGCAAUGGGCGAAAGCCUGACGGAGCAACGCCGCGUGAGUGAUGAAGGUCUUCGGAUCGUAAAACUCUGUUAUUAGGGAAGAACAAAUGUGUAAGUAACUAUGCACGUCUUGACGGUACCUAAUCAGAAAGCCACGGCUAACUACGUGCCAGCAGCCGCGGUAAUACGUAGGUGGCAAGCGUUAUCCGGAAUUAUUGGGCGUAAAGCGCGCGUAGGCGGUUUUUUAAGUCUGAUGUGAAAGCCCACGGCUCAACCGUGGAGGGUCAUUGGAAACUGGAAAACUUGAGUGCAGAAGAGGAAAGUGGAAUUCCAUGUGUAGCGGUGAAAUGCGCAGAGAUAUGGAGGAACACCAGUGGCGAAGGCGACUUUCUGGUCUGUAACUGACGCUGAUGUGCGAAAGCGUGGGGAUCAAACAGGAUUAGAUACCCUGGUAGUCCACGCCGUAAACGAUGAGUGCUAAGUGUUAGGGGGUUUCCGCCCCUUAGUGCUGCAGCUAACGCAUUAAGCACUCCGCCUGGGGAGUACGACCGCAAGGUUGAAACUCAAAGGAAUUGACGGGGACCCGCACAAGCGGUGGGAGCAUGUGGUUUAAUUCGAAGCAACGCGAGAACCUUACCAAAUCUUGACAUCCUCUGACCCCUCUAGA
rnacentral:rRNA from 1 species